UACGGAGGGUGCAAGCGUUAAUCGGAAUUACUGGGCGUAAAGCGUGCGCAGGCGGUUUGUUAAGUCUGCUGUGAAAUCCCCGAGCUCAACUUGGGAAUUGCAGUGGAUACUGGCAGGCUGGAGUAUGGUAGAGGAAGGUGGAAUUCCCGGUGUAGCAGUGAGAUGCGUAGAGAUCGGGAGGAACACCAGUGGCGAAGGCGGCCUUCUGGACCAAUACUGACGCUCAUGCACGAAAGCGUGGGGAGCAAACAGG
rnacentral:rRNA from 1 species